rnacentral:rRNA from 1 species
UACGAAGGGGGCUAGCGUUGCUCGGAAUCACUGGGCGUAAAGCGCACGUAGGCGGAUUGUUAAGUCAGGGGUGAAAUCCUGGAGCUCAACUCCAGAACUGCCCUUGAUACUGGCGAUCUCGAGUUCGGGAGAGGUGAGUGGAACUGCGAGUGUAGAGGUGAAAUUCGUAGAUAUUCGCAAGAACACCAGUGGCGAAGGCGGCUCACUGGCCCGAUACUGACGCUGAGGUGCGAAAGCGUGGGGAGCAAACAGGG